GGGGAAUAUUGGACAAUGGGCGCAAGCCUGAUCCAGCCACGCCGCGUGAGUGAUGAAGGCCUUCGGGUUGUAAAGCUCUGUGGGUAGGGACGAAAACGGUCCGGAAGAAACGACGGAUCCUUGACGGUACCUACUUAGCAAGCACCGGCUAACUCUGUGCCAGCAGCCGCGGUAAUACAGAGGGUGCGAACGUUGCUCGGAAUUACUGGGCGUAAAGCGCGUGUAGGCGGAGCGCUAAGUCGGGCGUGAAAUCCCCAGGCUCAACCUGGGAACUGCGCUCGAAACUGGCGUUCUCGAGUAUCGGAGAGGGUGGCGGAAUUCCUGGUGUAGAGGUGAAAUUCGUAGAUAUCAGGAGGAACACCGGUGGCGAAGGCGGCCACCUGGACGAUCACUGACGCUGAGACGCGAAAGCGUGGGGAGCAAAC
rnacentral:rRNA from 1 species